CACCAAAUCACAACAAAGUGAAAAACAUUCUUCGAACUUAAAAACAAAUAUAAUGAACUUGAUUAAUAUACACGUGGGGGUAACAUUUAAAAGCACAAGGGAAUCACAUUUUCAUCAGUUCACUUUAAGCCACGAUACUCUUUGGAAAAGAAGAAACGAUUGAAAAGUCUUUAUACCGAUACUCCAGUAGAGUUAUAGUUAAGCUGUGCGACAGAGCAAAAUGGGGUUUUUCUGCGCAAAUAAUAAAUACGCAAAAGAAAUGUUUUCCUUGAUUCAAAAAUCACAACAACAUCGUCUGAACGAUCAAAGAUGUGAUCCUGAAAUUAUUAAAAAAGCAGACGAGAAUCAACUCUUUGAAACGAUAAUUUUCUAUCAGUCCAAGAGAAUUGAAGACCAACGUUGCAACAUGCCGUCCAACCUCGCAAAGGAUCAGCAAUAAAAUGUUGUUGAAGAAAUAAACAGCAAGAGCUAAUUGUUUGCCUCGUCACAUUUUGACCGCUAGAGUCCAGAGAUGUCACUAAUGAAUGCUUUGACGAUAUCGACGCAAAUAUCAGGUAGACGCUCAGUACAUCAUCCGUAAAGAGAGAAAUGAGGUACAACAACAUGGCUACACCGAGACAGUUGAAAAAAAAUAGUCAAAUGCAUUCUGAAGAUGGAAUUGAUAGCUAUACACAAAGGCGAUGCAAAAACUGUAAGAAAAGAAAGAACAGUGAACUAUUUAAUAAAGGGAAACUUUAUUUCACGAUAGCUACAUGCAUUUGUCAAAUUACUUAUACAUACGGUUAUUUGGUUGUUUAAAGGUUAUUGAGAAUAGUUUAUUACGUUUGAAAUAAAAUUAGACAAUAAAUCAA